UUAACUGAAUCCAUAGGUUAAUGAGGCGAACCGGGGGAACUGAAACAUCUAAGUACCCCGAGGAAAAGAAAUCAACCGAGAUUCCCCCAGUAGCGGCGAGCGAACGGGGAGGAGCCCAGAGCCUGAAUCAGUGUGUGUGUUAGUGGAAGCGUCUGGAAAGGCGCGCGAUACAGGGUGACAGCCCCGUACACAAAAAUGCACAUGCUGUGAGCUCGAUGAGUAGGGCGGGACACGUGGUAUCCUGUCUGAAUAUGGGGGGACCAUCCUCCAAGGCUAAAUACUCCUGACUGACCGAUAGUGAACCAGUACCGUGAGGGAAAGGCGAAAAGAACCCCGGCGAGGGGAGUGAAAAAGAACCUGAAACCGUGUACGUACAAGCAGUGGGAGCCUCUUUAUGGGGUGACUGCGUACCUUUUGUAUAAUGGGUCAGCGACUUAUAUUCUGUAGCAAGGUUAACCGAAUAGGGGAGCCGAAGGGAAACCGAGUCUUAACUGGGCGUUAAGUUGCAGGGUAUAGACCCGAAACCCGGUGAUCUAGCCAUGGGCAGGUUGAAGGUUGGGUAACACUAACUGGAGGACCGAACCGACUAAUGUUGAAAAAUUAGCGGAUGACUUGUGGCUGGGGGUGAAAGGCCAAUCAAACCGGGAGAUAGCUGGUUCUCCCCGAAAGCUAUUUAGGUAGCGCCUCGUGAAUUCAUCUCCGGG
rnacentral:rRNA from 1 species